GAUGAACGCUGGCGGCGUGCCUAAUACAUGCCAGUCGAGCGAACAGACGAGGAGCUUGCUCCUCUGACGUUAGCGGCGGACGGGUGAGUAACACGUGGAUAACCUACCUAUAAGACUGGGAUAACUUCGGGAAACCGGAGCUAAUACCGGAUAAUAUAUUGAACCGCAUGGUUCAAUAGUGAAAGACGGUUUUGCUGUCACUUAUAGAUGGAUCCGCGCCGCAUUAGCUAGUUGGUAAGGUAACGGCUUACCAAGGCAACGAUGCGUAGCCGACCUGAGAGGGUGAUCGGCCACACUGGAACUGAGACACGGUCCAGACUCCUACGGGAGGCAGCAGUAGGGAAUCUUCCGCAAUGGGCGUAAGCCUGACGGAGCAACGCCGCGUGAGUGAUGAAGGUCUUCGGAUCGUAAAACUCUGUUAUUAGGGAAGAACAAAUGUGUAAGUAACUAUGCACGUCUUGACGGUACCUAAUCAGAAAGCCACGGCUAACUACGUG
rnacentral:rRNA from 1 species